CUGAAUAUGUUCUAGGCAAGUGGAACAGUACGACUCUCCAAGCAGUUCUGGAUACAGUACAGAAUCAACUUUCCUUUGUCAGUCAGCCGGUGAUAAUUCAGAGCACCCAUUGCAUCAGGAUAUUGGAACUGAAAUGAAGUCUGAACAACUUGGAGAUGAAAAAGGAGUAGGCAGAGAUGAGAAAGGGGUUCUUUGUACUGCAAAUGUGGAUAAAGGUAAAUAAAUGGAAAGGAUUUUUAAUAAAAUUUCAGUUUAGUAACAAUUGACCACAUAUAUAAUAGAUUAUGUUCAAAGAGAUGAUGAAUAACCAGAUAAUAACUUAAUCUCUUAAGUGGUUAGUUAUUCCUAAGCUGGAAAUUAUAUGAAGGUCUAGUUUUAUAUAUUUUCUAAAAUAAAAUGCUUUUUUUCAAUAUGCUAAUACCAUAAAUGGUAAGCGUUAAUAUUAUGUCUAUUCUAGCAGAUAUGUUGCCAUAUUGUGAGGAACAGAUAAACAAUGACUUGAUUGUUUCUACCUCAUCAAGAUUGGAGUUCAGCUCCCCUAUUCAAGUAACCCCUCUGUUCAGAUCCUUGGCAGCAGGAAUUCCCAGCCCACAAUUUUCCGAAAGUGUAAGUCAGCCAUGAACUUGGGACUUGGGCAUUGAUUAUAUUUCUGUAUAAUUUUUUUUAAAAUGAUCUAUAUGCAUAUAUUGUAUUUCUUUUGACCGCAGAACCCAUUAUGAUUUCUGUUAUAGUUUCAUAAAGGAUUUUUAGGGUCUCUGAUAUUUUCCGUUAUCUGAUAUUGAUAAUGUUGAUAAUGAUAACUAGCAUGAUUAUAUAUUAUUAGUAAUAUGGGAGCUUUUCAACUUGAUGGUAGAGCUUGUUGUAGUGGAGAUUUUAUAGGGGAAGCUUAUCAAUGCAAAAUUGACAUGUUAAAGCGGUGAACUAAUGGAAUCAUGAUUAGUUGUUGGAUUAAUGGAAUCAUGUCUUUUCCUUUUAGUUUAGUAAGAUGAAUGCCUAUUAUAUAUUAAAUAUUAAUCUAUCAAUAAUAAAUCAAAUAAUGGUGGCAUUUUAUUUUCAUCAUUAGUUUCAAUACUCAAUCCAUGAAACCGUAGUAGGCACCUUAACUCAAGUAUUCCUAAUAUCAUCUAUUUCUACUUCUAAGUCCAUUGGGCUUUUGAAAUAUUUAAGCAAUCCCUACCUAAAAUUGUUGAUGCAGGUAAAAAAGAGGUAAAUGAAGAAGAACAACCUGUUUGUAAUCAAGUAUUUGGGUGGCAUAUAAUGUGCUGGUAAAACUAAUACGAUAUAUGUGUAUAUGGCAUGAGAUUUUCUGAGACAUUUAGAUUUUUUAGCAUACAGAUUAAGUUGUGUAAGAUCUUACUCACAUUGGAGCGCAUAAUAAUGAUAUAACUGCAGGGUUUGUUUGGAUAAAAUUUUCCAUAAACACUCAUUGGAGAAGAAAAUACGAAGGAAAGACUAACCAUAAAGUAAAAUUAGUUUAUAUAUGAAUUAAAAAUCAUCUAUUUAGAGAAACUCAUUUUGUUUGUCCUUCUUAUAUUGCUCUUAUAAGUUAGAAGUAUUUUGAAAAAGUUUAUCUUGCAAAUAAUAUUUAAUUUUGUGGCAAGAUUAGUGGAAGCUGUUAGAUGUUAUUCACACAUUGAUUUUUUUAAUUCUAGUUUGUCGUUGGUAAUGGCACUUCUCGCUUUUUCUCUAGUAUUAGAAUAUAUCGAUGUUUGACACUGAAGACUAACCUUUAUUCUUUCAGGAAAGGAACUUCUUAAGGAAAACACUAGGAGUGGAAUCUCCAUCCAUCAACCCAAGUGCCAACUCAUCACAACCGCCACCCUGCAAAAGAGCCCUACUACCAAGUCUAUAAACCAUCUGAGAUACAAAUAUUGAUCCGUUUUGAAUCCUACUUUCUCAUCCUUGGCAGUAAUCUCUGGCAUAUGGAGAAAAAAUAUGAUUUCAAUCUGCCUAAAGUUUUGAAAGGCAUAUGCUGUUCCUCAAGAAUGUUAUGAUACAUUCUUGCCGCCAUCCAACAUAUCUAACAUCUCAAAAGUUACCUUUUUGAAACUUGCACAUAAAAUUGGCUUGCUUAGUGUGUCAUUCUUUGGUUUGUUUUAUUUUGAUAUUGUUCUGGGUUUGUUUUUCUCCAAUCCAGCAAUCAGCAUUUUGUCCGAAUUUUGUACAGAGCUUGCUGUGUAAUCAGUAGCAUCAUGAUUCCUGAGUGUGUAUGAAUACAUUAGCAUAGAUAGAAGAGAGAGAAGAAACUUAACAGUGGGAACUUGGAUUCUAAUUUGUUGUUUGGAGUGUGCAUAGGUUAUUUAAUAAAUAUUUUUCCCUUUUGGUUCUGAUGUACUGAAACUUAAUCAUAAGUGAGUGGAAAUGCAUUUGGUUUGGUGUGCAGAUACUGUUUCAGUUUUUAGCUCAAUCAAAUUGUAAAAUUCUCCAAACUAAGACUUAUAUUCCAGGUAAAUAAAAGAAAAUGGUAAAGCAAAGGCCAUGAAGCAUCAUGAAAACAGAACAAGAAAUGGAGAAUAUGUAAAUCAUAUACUUACAGAGUUUUCAUGUCACCUUGCCCCCUGACCUGAUAGAGGCAAAGCAUACCUUUCUCUUUGAUACGGCUUGUUUGCCAUGGAGCAUCAUCUUGUGCUGGGUGGAAGAAUAAUUCCACACUCACUGCAUUCUUAUAUUUAGUUAGGAUAAGGGGUUAAUGGUUGGUGGGAGAAUACAGGAGCUGAUAAUGAUGAUAACAAGGUAAAAGCAGUUGGUAAAAAGAGAGAGGGAACGUCCUACAAAAUAAAGUGCAUACCUUUGCUGUUAACUUUGGCCACC
rnacentral:lncRNA from 1 species